UGAGGAAUAUUGGUCAAUGGGCGGGAGCCUGAACCAGCCAAGCCGCGUGAGGGAGGAAGGCCCUAUGGGUCGUAAACCUCUUUUGUCAGGGAACAAAAGCGAGUAUGUAUACUAGUCUGAGUGUACCUGAAGAAAAAGCAUCGGCUAACUCCGUGCCAGCAGCCGCGGUAAUACGGAGGAUGCGAGCGUUAUCCGGAUUUAUUGGGUUUAAAGGGUGCGUAGGCGGCGGUGCAAGUCAGCGGUAAAAGCCCGGGGCUCAACCCCGGCGAGCCGUUGAAACUGCAGUGCUAGAGAAGGCGAGAGGUACGCGGAAUGCGCAGUGUAGCGGUGAAAAUGCUUAGAUAUUGCGCAGAACUCCGAUUGCGAAGGCAGCGUACUGGCGCCUGACUGACGCUGAGGCACGAAAGCGUGGGGAUCGAACAGGAUUAGAUACCC
rnacentral:rRNA from 1 species